UACGGGGGGGGGCAAGCGUUGUUCGGAAUUACUGGGCGUAAAGGGCUCGUAGGCGGCCAACUAAGUCGGACGUGAAAUCCCCAGGCUCAACCUGGGAACUGCGUCCGAUACUGGAUGGCUUGAAUCCGGGAGAGGGAUGCAGAAUUCCAGGUGUAGCGGUGAAAUGCGUAGAUAUCUGGAGGAAUACCGGUGGCGAAGGCGGCAUCCUGGACCGGCAUUGACGCUGAGGAGCGAAAGCCAGGGGAGCAAACGGGG
rnacentral:rRNA from 1 species